AUGAAUAUUAGUUCACCAGGGGUCAGCCCUGACCCGUUCUGUUCUCCAAAACAAGUUCAAAAUUCGACACGUCUCAAACGUGUUGUUAACUUGUUCUGCCAGGAGUGUUGGGAUCUUUUUUUUUCU